UUAGAAGUCAUAGAGCUCUUCGAUGAGCAUGGCAUUGAUCAUGGUCGCGGUCGUGGGAGGGGACGUGUAGGUAGACGUGGUCGAGGGAUUAGGAGGAGAACAUAAUGUUACAUUUUUGUAAAUUUUAAAUUGCACAGAACUUUCUAAAUAGCGAUAAAUUUGCUCUAUAUUUUGAUAUGUUGUUGUGAUGAUAUGGUAUUGAUGCUCUAUUGAUGUUCUGUUCGAUUUAUUGUUGCGUUGUUGUGGUGGAUUUGCCGUUGUGUUGUCGAUGUAUCACGAUUUGUUGUAUUAUUGUGCUGAAAUCUGCAGUGAUGUGGGUGGAGUUCUACUGAACAUGGUGCAUGGUUCACCGUAUUUAGACGCGGUCAUCAUGUUUGGAUACGGUAAAUAGUUCAUCGUGUUUAAUGUAUUAUUCUUCCUCAUCACAAGGUAAUAUAAGUCACUGAACACGGUGAACCAUUCACCGCGUUCAAACACGAUAAAAGAUUUACCGUGUUCAACUUAUUCCACAUCCCCCACUUCUGCUCGGGUGGCGCUGACGUGACGCCUGCGUACGUAGCAGAGACGGGGCCAAAAUUGUAAUUAUAAAAUUAGUGGGGCUAUUUGUGAAAAUAAUUUUUUUUAGGGAG
rnacentral:lncRNA from 1 species